UACGUAGGUGGCGAGCGUUAUCCGGAAUGAUUGGGCGUAAAGGGUGCGCAGGCGGAUUUUUAAGUCAGCGGUCAAAUCGUGGGGCUCAACCCCAUCCAGCCGUUGAAACUGGGGAUCUAGAGUGUGCGAGAGGUAUGCGGAAUGCGUGGUGUAGCGGUGAAAUGCAUAGAUAUCACGCAGAACCCCGAUUGCGAAGGCAGCUUACCGGCGCUCAACUGACGCUGAGGCACGAAAGUGCGGGUAUCGAACAGG
rnacentral:rRNA from 1 species